rnacentral:lncRNA from 1 species
AAUGUUCAAGCAUCUAAUCAAUAAAUGAAAGAAGAAAAUGAUAUUUUCUAGCUGAUGCAUUCAAGUUCCUGUAAUCUAUACAAACUCUCCAUCCAUUUUUAACUCUGUGGACACUAACUCACCGUCAUGAUUUUCAGUCACUGUUAUACUUGUUUUCUGUGCUACCACUUGUACCGCACUUACCCACUUGCUGUAUGAAAUCAGAUAAAUGACACUAACAUCGAGGAGCUUUAAUUUUUUUUUUUACUAACUCUAUCAUAUGUGGGUUCAAACGCCCCUGUGCUUAUCUAAUAGGAUCACUGUCUUCC